CCAAAGUUGAAGUCUGCGGCUCAGUUUAGCCCAUGGCUUUGACGGAGCUUUGCUGAUGACCUUGCUGAAUAUCUGAAUGAAGUUCAUUUUACUGGCUUUCUCUUUCAUUUUGUCGGCCCUCUCCUUCAAAAGGUCUGUUCGUCAGAAGAUUUCAGUAGAACAUUGCCCCGUCGUGCCUGCAACAUCCUAAGAGACAUGUGGUUACAACAGGGCAAGACGUAUUGUCUCCAGGAAUAGGGCAGUUACGUGAGAAUUCUUGUGCCUCUAUUGUUUAUUUCUCAAUGUUGUUGCCAUAUCACAUCCCCGCAGUUUACUGACCCCUUGAAGAAUUAUUAAAGGAUUAUGUUGUAUGUGAGUAGUGAAAGAUAAUUCAGUACUUCUCUCAUUUUAUGCUCUUUUGGUUCUUAUACAUUUCUUAUUUUUUGCUCCAGCUUGCUGCACCGCUUGGUCUGUAUGGCAUGUGAAUCAAUUAAUUUGUUCCUUUUAGGAGUUGAUGUAGAAUUGGUUUGAUGUUUUAUUUUAGUAAAGAUAGUUGUUCAUUCCAAAUAUCAGGUUGUCAUAUUGAGAUCAUGAUUGGACUGCCACUGUCCGGCAAGGAGGUGCCUCAUGGGGCGCCCCAACCACUAGUGAUUAUAAAAGCCAAUGUCAGGAAGUAUUGUGCCGUGGUGG